UUUGCGCCGUUGAAACAGAGAUAGAAGAUUCAUGCACGCCGGUUGAUUUCAUUGCACUUAUAUAUUAUUCAUGUAUCUUGAAAAGUGAUGAUCAGGACUAGUAUAUAUAUUUAUAUACAUUGUAUGCAUGUAGGUACGUACUUAGACACUGCUCUUGCUCAAAUGCAUAUAUACAUUCAAGUCCGAGCUGGAGAUUUCGCAUCUUAGUUUCAAUAAACCUCAUUCUUUUAAUUUUGUUUUCUUCUUUUAAUUUCCUCUAUUGAUAUGUUCUAUAUGUGUUUUUAAUGUUUUGCAAAGUGAAAAACUCAAUAGUUUUGUUUUGGACUGAUGAGUGUGAAGUUUAAAAUGCAUGGAUGUGUUAAAAGGGUUUUCAUCAUUUGUUUUCCGUGAUUUGAACUACAUACUUUAAUUUCUUAUUUUUCCCCUUCAUUGUAGAUGUUUUAGUUUAUGAAUCCUCUUGUAUUUUAUUUUAGUCUUUGCCGAAAAACUGAUUUUGAGAAGGAAACAGCUAAUUACGGUUAUUUUUGUUUCUUUGUUUUAUAUUUUCAUUUACUUACUAUACACGAUGUGUGUGAAUUGAUAAAUUUUCAUGUAGCUACAUAAUUGCAAGACCAAGUGAUCAGAGCUAUUGUUAUAAGGGUUCAAGGAAAGUUAAUAUCAAUUUUGUUCAAAAGGUAAAACAUCAAUGUACGUAUACAUUGAUUCAAUAUACACUGUAUUUUCUUCAUCGUCAAGGUAUAUUAUAAACACUAGUUAUUUAUUAUGUAUUUUUAUUUUUGUUGAAUGCAUGCAUGUUUUUUUUUUUUUCCGAAAAAAGGUGAAUGCAUGCAUGUUGAUGUUGUCUAUAUAUGUAAAAGCCAUUAUUCACCGCAAGUAGGCCGUUGAUAACUUACCGUUUGGUAAGUACACUGGUCACUGAAUUAGUUCAAGAAAUUUUAUCCAGUCGGAACAUAUAUUGGUACAACAUCUUUUUUUUUUUGGUAAAAAUAUUUGUCCAAAAUCAUUUAUACUAACACUUACUCCCUCUAUUUCACAAAAGUGUCAUUUUAGAGUUUUUUCUUUGUUUCACAAAAACUGUCAAUUUAUAUUUCCAAUGUGAUUUUUGACAUUAUAUUUUCUAAUUUACCCUUAAUUAAUCCAAAACUCUUUUUAUUAAAUUUAAAUGAUAAAUUAUUUAUUAAAUAGGGGCAUAUAUGCAUAAUUCAAGUUUUUCUUAAUUUAUGUGAAAUGACACUUUUUAUGAAACAGAAUCAAUAAUUUGGUAUAACAAUCCAUGUACUUUAUAUAUAUAUGAGAUUCAAAUAGAGUUUAAUUUAAAGAUCAUUCUACUUAAAUUCGUAAGACGUAAUAUGUUUUUAUGCAUGCUAAGUAAUUAAUUGAAAUAUUUCCCAUAACUUUCAUUGUAACUUAUUUAUUUAAUGUAAUAUAUUACCUUUGAAUUGUUGGCAGCGAGUUUAAGACCUUUUGAAAAUGCAGUUUGGAGAGCUUUGUUUCACGUAUUGUAAAUUAGUAUUUUAUUCACCUGUGAAAAAAAAAAUUAUUGUAAAAUUUAAUAUUUCGUCUAAAAAAGUUAACUGUUGGGCUUAAUAUCUCGUCUAAAAUAGUUAAUUAUUGGGCUACAAACACGAUUACAAAUUAAUAUUUCGUCUCAAAGGUGUAAAAUUUUAAACCAUCAGCAAAAUCAGUUCUGGUUGAGUUGACCAAAAGGUCCAAAAGGAAAAGAAAAGGUAAAAUGAGGAUAAAAUAAGAAGGCUGGUUGUGGUAAAAAAGGUAAAAGAGAGAGCCGACAUAAAGUGUCUGAAUGGUACAACGUAUUUGGUUGUGCGGGUAAAGCGGUUUUAUUGUGUGGUAUAGUUCAAUUGCGGUUCGUACAGGAGAAAAAUAUUGCAGGAUAAGUGCGGUUUAUAGAAAAUAAGUGAUAUGAAAUAAUGUUUGAUUGGUGAAAAAACUACUAGCAGUAUUGUUAAUAAGAAGAUUGUUAAACAUGUUGUUUUACUUAUAAAACAAUAUAUUCGGUUAUAUA